rnacentral:rRNA from 1 species
GAUGAACGCUGGCGGCGUGCUUAAUACAUGCAAGUCGAGCGAACGGACGAGAAGCUUGCUUCUCUGAUGUUAGCGGCGGACGGGUGAGUAACACGUGGAUAACCUACCUAUAAGACUGGGAUAACUUCGGGAAACCGGAGCUAAUACCGGAUAAUAUUUUGAACCGCAUGGUUCAACAGUGAAAGACGGUCUUGCUGUCACGUAUAGAUGUAUCCGCGCUGCAUUAGCUAGUUGGUAAGGUAACGGCUUACCAAGGCAACGAUGCAUAGCCGACCUGAGAGGGUGAUCAGCCACACUGGAACUGAGACACGGUCCAGACUCCUACGGGAGGCAGCAGUAGGGAAUCUUCGACAAUGGGCGAAAGCCUGACGGAGCAACGCCGCGUGAGUGAUGAAGGUCUUCGGAUCGUAAAGCUCUGUUAUUAGGGACGAACAUGUGUGUAAGUAACUGUGCACUUGUUGACGGUACCUGAUCAGAAAGCCACGGCUAACUACGUG